UGUUAAAAAUUUCAUCCAUGUUUACUAUUAAAAGUUUACGUAGCUAACAGAAUAAUCAAAGAGUUACACAUGAUGUGCAAUGUAUACCUCGUGCUGACAUAUAAUGAUCAAUUUUUAACAGUAAAAAUAGAUAAAAUUUUUAAUA
rfam:Gossypium raimondii Chr03_contig_18, whole genome shotgun sequence.